AUUGAACGCUGGCGGCAUGCUUUACACAUGCAAGUCGAACGGCAGCACGGGGGUAACCCUGGUGGCGAGUGGCGAACGGGUGAGUAAUGCAUCGGAACAUAUCUUAAAGUGGGGAAUAACGCAUCGAAAGGUGUGCUAAUACUCCAUAUACUCUAAGGAGGAAAGCGGGGGAUCGAAAGACCUCGUGCUUUAAGGGUGGCCGAUGUCUGAUUAGCUAGUUGGUGGGGUAAAGGCUUACCAAGGCGACGAUCAGUAGCUGGUCUGAGAGGACGAUCAGCCACACUGGGACUGAGACACGGCCCAGACUCCUACGGGAGGCAGCAGUGGGGAAUUUUGGACAAUGGGGGCAACCCUGAUCCAGCCAUGCCGCGUGAGUGAAGAAGG
rnacentral:rRNA from 1 species